UUCCAAAGUGUUGAGUACAACUCUGGGUAUCUUCCCUGUGUUGUUAAUUGAACUUUGGGACAUUAAUUUUGCUAUGCAU